GACGAACGCUGGCGGCGUGCUUAACACAUGCAAGUCGAACGGAAAGGCCCUGCUUUUGUGGGGUGCUCGAGUGGCGAACGGGUGAGUAACACGUGAGUAACCUGCCCUUGACUUUGGGAUAACUUCAGGAAACUGGGGCUAAUACCGGAUAGGAGCUCCUGCUGCAUGGUGGGGGUUGGAAAGUUUCGGCGGUUGGGGAUGGACUCGCGGCUUAUCAGCUUGUUGGUGGGGUAGUGGCUUACCAAGGCUUUGACGGGUAGCCGGCCUGAGAGGGUGACUGGCCACAUUGGGACUGAGAUACGGCCCAGACUCCUACGGGAGGCAGCAGUGGGGAAUAUUGCACAAUGGGCGGAAGCCUGAUGCAGCAACGCCGCGUGCGGGAUGACGGCCUUCGGGUUGUAAACCGCUUUCGCCUGUGACGAAGCGUGAGUGACGGUAAUGGGUAAAGAAGCACCGGCUAACUACGUGCCAGCAGCCGCGGUGAUACGUAGGGUGCGAGCGUUGUCCGGAUUUAUUGGGCGUAAAGGGCUCGUAGGUGGUUGAUCGCGUCGGAAGUGUAAUCUUGGGGCUUAACCCUGAGCGUGCUUUCGAUACGGGUUGACUUGAGGAAGGUAGGGGAGAAUGGAAUUCCUGGUGGAGCGGUGGAAUGCGCAGAUAUCAGGAGGAACACCAGUGGCGAAGGCGGCUCUCUGGGCCUUUCCUGACGCUGAGGAGCGAAAGCGUGGGGAGCGAACAGGCUUAGAUACCCUGGUAGUCCACGCUGUAAACGGUGGGUACUAGGUGUGGGGUCCAUUCCACGGGUUCCGUGCCGUAGCUAACGCUUUAAGUACCCCGCCUGGGGAGUACGGCCGCAAGGCUAAAACUCAAAGGAAUUGACGGGGCCCCGCACAAGCGGCGGAGCAUGCGGAUUAAUUCGAUGCAACGCGUAGAACCUUACCUGGGUUUGACAUGGAUCGGGAGUGCUCAGAGAUGGGUGUGCCUCUUUUGGGGUCGGUUCACAGGUGGUGCAUGGCUGUCGACAGCUCGUGUCGUGAGAUGUUGGGUUAAGUCCCGCAACGAGCGCAACCCUUGUUCACUGUUGCCAGCACGUUAUGGUGGGGACUCAGUGGAGACCGCCGGGGUCAACUCGGAGGAAGGUGGGGAUGACGUCAAGUCAUCAUGCCCCUUAUGUCCAGGGCUUCACGCAUGCUACAAUGGCUGGUACAGAGAGUGGCGAGCCUGUGAGGGUGAGCGAAUCUCGGAAAGCCGGUCUCAGUUCGGAUUGGGGUCUGCAACUCGACCUCAUGAAGUCGGAGUCGCUAGUAAUCGCAGAUCAGCAACGCUGCGGUGAAUACGUUCCCGGGGCU
rnacentral:rRNA from 1 species